rnacentral:rRNA from 1 species
CACGUAGGGCGCAAGCGUUGUCCGGAAUUAUUGGGCGUAAAGAGCGUGUAGGCGGCCCGAUAAGUCCGCUGUGAAAGUCCAGGGCUCAACCCUGGAAUGCCGGUGGAUACUGUCGGGCUCGAAUCCGGAAGAGGUGAGUGGAAUUCCCGGUGUAGAGGUGAAAUUCGUAGAUAUCGGGAGGAACACCGGUGGCGAAGGCGGCGACCUGGGACGAUACUGACGCUGAGGUGCGAAAGCGUGGGGAGCAAACAGG